rnacentral:rRNA from 1 species
UUAAGCGACUAAGCGUACACGGUGGAUGCCCUGGCAGUCAGAGGCGAUGAAGGACGUGCUAAUCUGCGAUAAGCGUCGGUAAGGUGAUAUGAACCGUUAUAACCGGCGAUUUCCGAAUGGGGAAACCCAGUGUGAUUCGUCACACUAUCAUUAACUGAAUCCAUAGGUUAAUGAGGCGAACCGGGGGAACUGAAACAUCUAAGUACCCCGAGGAAAAGAAAUCAACCGAGAUUCCCCCAGUAGCGGCGAGCGAACGGGGAGCAGCCCAGAGCCUGAAUCAGUGUGUGUGUUAGUGGAAGCGUCUGGAAAGGCGCGCGAUACAGGGUGACAGCCCCGUACACAAAAAUGCACAUGCUGUGAGCUCGAUGAGUAGGGCGGGACACGUGGUAUCCUGUCUGAAUAUGGGGGGACCAUCCUCCAAGGCUAAAUACUCCUGACUGACCGAUAGUGAACCAGUACCGUGAGGGAAAGGCGAAAAGAACCCCGGCGAGGGGAGUGAAAAAGAACCUGAAACCGUGUACGUACAAGCAGUGGGAGCCUCUUUAUGGGGUGACUGCGUACCUUUUGUAUAAUGGGUCAGCGACUUAUAUUCUGUAGCAAGGUUAACCGAAUAGGGGAGCCGAAGGGAAACCGAGUCUUAACUGGGCGUUAAGUUGCAGGGUAUAGACCCGAAACCCGGUGAUCUAGCCAUGGGCAGGUUGAAGGUUGGGUAACACUAACUGGAGGACCGAACCGACUAAUGUUGAAAAAUUAGCGGAUGACUUGUGGCUGGGGGUGAAAGGCCAAUCAAACCGGGAGAUAGCUGGUUCUCCCCGAAAGCUAUUUAGGUAGCGCCUCGUGAAUUCAUCUCCGGGGGUAGAGCACUGUUUCGGCAAGGGGGUCAUCCCGACUUACCAACCCGAUGCAAACUGCGAAUACCGGAGAAUGUUAUCACGGGAGACACACGGCGGGUGCUAACGUCCGUCGUGAAGAGGGAAACAACCCAGACCGCCAGCUAAGGUCCCAAAGUCAUGGUUAAGUGGGAAACGAUGUGGGAAGGCCCAGACAGCCAGGAUGUUGGCUUAGAAGCAGCCAUCAUUUAAAGAAAGCGUAAUAGCUCACUGGUCGAGUCGGCCUGCGCGGAAGAUGUAACGGGGCUAAACCAUGCACCGAAGCUGCGGCAGCGACGCUUAUGCGUUGUUGGGUAGGGGAGCGUUCUGUAAGCCUGCGAAGGUGUACUGUGAGGUAUGCUGGAGGUAUCAGAAGUGCGAAUGCUGACAUAAGUAACGAUAAAGCGGGUGAAAAGCCCGCUCGCCGGAAGACCAAGGGUUCCUGUCCAACGUUAAUCGGGGCAGGGUGAGUCGACCCCUAAGGCGAGGCCGAAAGGCGUAGUCGAUGGGAAACAGGUUAAUAUUCCUGUACUUGGUGUUACUGCGAAGGGGGGACGGAGAAGGCUAUGUUGGCCGGGCGACGGUUGUCCCGGUUUAAGCGUGUAGGCUGGUUUUCCAGGCAAAUCCGGAAAAUCAAGGCUGAGGCGUGAUGACGAGGCACUACGGUGCUGAAGCAACAAAUGCCCUGCUUCCAGGAAAAGCCUCUAAGCAUCAGGUAACAUCAAAUCGUACCCCAAACCGACACAGGUGGUCAGGUAGAGAAUACCAAGGCGCUUGAGAGAACUCGGGUGAAGGAACUAGGCAAAAUGGUGCCGUAACUUCGGGAGAAGGCACGCUGAUACGUAGGUGAAGUCCCUUGCGGAUGGAGCUGAAAUCAGUCGAAGAUACCAGCUGGCUGCAACUGUUUAUUAAAAACACAGCACUGUGCAAACACGAAAGUGGACGUAUACGGUGUGACGCCUGCCCGGUGCCGGAAGGUUAAUUGAUGGGGUUAGCGGUAACGCGAAGCUCUUGAUCGAAGCCCCGGUAAACGGCGGCCGUAACUAUAACGGUCCUAAGGUAGCGAAAUUCCUUGUCGGGUAAGUUCCGACCUGCACGAAUGGCGUAAUGAUGGCCAGGCUGUCUCCACCCGAGACUCAGUGAAAUUGAACUCGCUGUGAAGAUGCAGUGUACCCGCGGCAAGACGGAAAGACCCCGUGAACCUUUACUAUAGCUUGACACUGAACAUUGAGCCUUGAUGUGUAGGAUAGGUGGGAGGCUUUGAAGUGUGGACGCCAGUCUGCAUGGAGCCGACCUUGAAAUACCACCCUUUAAUGUUUGAUGUUCUAACGUUGGCCCCUAAUCGGGGUUGCGGACAGUGUCUGGUGGGUAGUUUGACUGGGGCGGUCUCCUCCUAAAGAGUAACGGAGGAGCACGAAGGUUGGCUAAUCCUGGUCGGACAUCAGGAGGUUAGUGCAAUGGCAUAAGCCAGCUUGACUGCGAGCGUGACGGCGCGAGCAGGUGCGAAAGCAGGUCAUAGUGAUCCGGUGGUUCUGAAUGGAAGGGCCAUCGCUCAACGGAUAAAAGGUACUCCGGGGAUAACAGGCUGAUACCGCCCAAGAGUUCAUAUCGACGGCGGUGUUUGGCAC